rnacentral:rRNA from 5 species
CCGUGACUCGGCGAGAAGUCCAUUGAACCUUAUCAUUUAGAGGAAGGAGAAGUCGUAACAAGGUUUCCGUAGGUGAACCUGCGGAAGGAUCAUUG